CAGAUUAGCUUGUUGGUCUCCUACCUUCAGAUGCACGCCGGCUGGAUGCGGAUUGUCCCUCUCAAGUUCCCGUCGCAGGACGGAAACGAGGGGUGGGACAGGAAGUAGGGUCUGGCUGAGUUCGGGUGCGUGCAAGGCGGUCGCUGGAGGAGAGCAAGGUGCAGUGGCUGCAAGCUUUGGAGAAAGAGCCGCAAUGUUCCGGAUCGAGGGUCUCGCGCCGAAGCUGGACCCUGAGGAGAUGAAGCGGAAGAUGCGCGAGGAUGUGAUCUCCUCCAUUCGGAACUUCCUCAUCUACGUGGCCCUGCUGCGAGUCACUCCGUAUAUCUUAAAGAAGUUGGACAGCAUAUGAGGACUGGGAGCCCCAUGGAUGCAUGGCAUGAAGAACCUGGUGACAGUUUCUCCUCCUGUCUGCAGAUGAAUUGGCCCAGAAAGGUGUAAGACUGAUUAAAUGGACAUAAAAACUCUACUUGUUAUGAACACAUCGGGCCUUGGGAACUGACCUUCAUAGCUGAAUUUUAAAAGUAAUUUGGGAAGUGCAAAAAGAUGUCUUGUGGUCGUGGUGUGCCCUCAAGCCCAUGCUGUCCACCUCUGUGAGUGCUGAUGGGGUUGUCAAGAUGUCAGACUCCGAGGGGCUUGGGUCUGAAAUGGCAGUCAUUUCUGUUUACAACUUCUGUUCCAAGUGUAUUUGUGGAGAGCCUGUUUGGGAGUCAGCACACACCCACAAUGACGCUUAAGCACAGAACCAGCAGUCUAUAUUUUUAAUAAACAUUCUGAUGGAACA